UCUCUCAUAUCCCCAAAAUCGAAAUUGAAGACUAUUUGAAAGAAAGUCACAGAAAACAGAUUUCCUGACCAAAUCACCAGAGGUAAAACGACAUCGUACCGCCAUCUUCACACCUCAUAUCGGAUUUAUAAAGCCAUCACAGCCGAUGACUUCGUCGACGGCUGUCAUCUUUCCGUCAGGCAAUCUAGGCUGUAUUGUGAACUCUAAAGUGUGAUAAGGAAUUAACGGAGAUUGAAGACCAAGAUUAUCACACCAGAGGCUAAGUUAGAGUAAAAGGGUCAAAGUGGCUGAUGAGUGGAAGGUAACAAAUGAUGCUUAAUCUUUACGUUGAUGGUGGUAUGGAGUUGGUCCAUGAUUUACCAGACUCGUAUUUGGCGCAACUAGACACACAGAAGUGAACUAGAAAAUGGCUUAAAACUGAAAAGGGCAUAACUUUCAUCACAUGUGGAGUUACACGUCUCAACGAGCCACGUGCUUGGACAAAUGCAAUAGACAAAACCCGACUCACGGGACCCAAACGAGCCACGUGCUUGGACAAAUGCAAUAGACAAAACCCGACUCACGGGACCCAAUUUCACCAUCUAGAGCUCCGAUUUUGAACUCAAGGCUGUUAACUUGGAGGGAGACUGAUUAUUGACAAGAGGUUCAUAUUGAAGAAGACUUGCCACUGAAGGAACCCCUAGAGUUGUUACAAGAGGUUCUUAUAACUGAUGAAGAAUUAGUGGAACGUGUCUCUGAUGACAAGUUACCAUCUGAUGAAAAUAAAAGGAACUUCCCACCAAUCUGGUGAAGAUUGAUAAAGAUUUCUCGUUAAGGAACAAGAGAUGUCACAUGUCUGUCUAUCAUUGGAAUAAGACAGUCAGUUAAGAAGAUCUUAUACGUAAUUAUCACUUAUGUAAAUCUCAACACGAUUAUGAAUAC
rnacentral:lncRNA from 1 species